GACACUGUGCCCGAGUUGGUCUAAGGGGUGGCACUUAAGAUGCCAUGAUCAAUGAUCUCAUGGGUUCGAGCCCCAUCGGUGUCA
rnacentral:tRNA from 1 species